CUCGCGUCCCGGCCGUGCGACAACCUCGAUGUCUGGAUUUCUUUCGUCGAUUGAAAGUGUGAAACGAAUCCAGAGAUCAGCCGUGAGUUCGCUCUUUUGCAUAUGAAGCAAGAGGAAGGAAAUCCUGGCGGGGAAGAACUAGGAGGCAGCCACAGUCAUUUGUCAUGCUUGUUUUGGAGAACAAAUCUGAUUAGGUCUUCGUCUUAUCUACAGAAAAAAUUAAGAAUUUGUUGUC